UACCUUGACUACUCUCUGAUACCCUCAGCUUCCCAACUUCAGCCUUCUGCUGGUGAUCUUCAUAUGUCUAACUCAUCAAGAGACCAGAAGAAAAGAGAGCCCAGUUAAACAAAUUCACGAAGGCCACCAACACAUUCCAUGCAUAGACUCUUCUGGGAACACAGUGUUGCUGCUGCUGGCAAGGGAGGUUUGCAUCUGUGAAGAAUGAGAGGAGUUUAGGAAGAGCAGCCAAGAUGGGGAAGGGGAUGACUGACCUUUCCAUGGACAGGCCUGACUAAGCAUGUUUGCAGGGGCUGGGCAAACUGCAAAGAGCAAGAAAAGGGAAUCCCUGCCCAAGUGGUAGGUGGUGACCAUAUGUUGAACACCAGCGCUAGACCUCAGAGUCUUUGGAACCAGGAGACUGAUGAUUAAGAUUCCUGACACAUCACUCUGUUACCUCACCACCAACCAAUCAGAAGGAAGUCACCUCACCACCAACCAAUCAGAAGGAAGUCACCUCACCACCAACCAAUCAGAAGGAAGUCAUACAUCCUGCAGGCCUUAUUCCAAAUGCUGCCUUUAAAAACUCCUCUCUGAAAGACAUCGGGGAACUUGUCUUUUGAGCAUGAGCUUCUUGUUCUCCUUGCUUGGUGCCCUGAAAAUAAACACUGCACUUUCCCUCACCAAAACCAAGUCAGUAAAU